GUGCAGCAGUCGCGAAAACUCCGCAAUACACGAAAGUGUGACGGGGCCAUCCCGAGUGCCAUCCGCUGAGGAUGGCUUUUCCCCAGUGUAGAUAGCUGGAGGAAUAAGGAGAGGGCAAGUCUGGUGUCAGCCGCCGCGGUAAUACCAGCUCUCCGAGUGGUGGGGACGCUUAUUGGGCCUAAAGCAUCCGUAGCUGGCUGGACAAGUCCCCUGUUAAAUCCAACGAUUCAAUCGUUGGACUGCGGGGGAUACUGCCCGGCUAGGGGGCGAGAGAGGCCGACGGUAUUCUCGGGGUAGGGGUGAAAUCUUAUAAUCCCGGGAGGACCACCAGUGGCGAAGGCUGUCGGCUAGAGCGCGCCCGACGGUGAGGGAUGAAAGCUGGGGGAGCGAACCGGAUUAGAUACCCGGGUAGUCC
rnacentral:rRNA from 1 species